UGAUUUGUAGGGAGGGAGAGGUGCCUGAGGAAUGAUUUGUAGGGAAGGAGAGGUGCCUGAGGAAUGAUUUGUAGGGACGGAGAGGUGCCUGAGGAAUGAUUUGUAGGGAAGGAGAGGAGCCUGAGGAAUGAUUUGUAGGGAAGGAGAGGUGCCUGAGGAAUAAUUUGUAGGGAAGGAGAGGAGCCUGAGGAAUGAUUUGUAGGGAAGGAGAGGUGCCUGAGGAAUGAUUUGUAGGGAAGGAGAGGAGCCUGAGGAAUGAUUUGUAGGGAAGGAGAGGAGCCUGAGGAAUGAUUUGUAGGGAAUGAGAGGUGCCUGAGGAAUGAUUUGUAGGGAAGGAGAGGAGCCUGAGGAAUGAUUUGUAGGGAAGGAGAGGAGCCUGAGGAAUAAUUUGUAGGGACGGAGAGGUGCCUGAGGAAUGAUUUGUAGGGAAGGAGAGGAGCCUGAGGAAUGCUCUUCAGGUGUACAGUCGUUGAUUUUAGAGGUGGAAGAGAGAAGUGCUCAGACUCAAAGGGCUUUGGACUGGCCGUGAGCCAGCAAGCAAACACUGGGCGCCUAUGAGGAGAACCGCUAUGGUGCUGGGGGGAGGUCAGAAAUAGUUGGCUCAUUUUCCAUCUGCAUAUCCAACGAUAGAGAAAUGAUAUAUUCUUCUCUGGAGACCGUGACAUAAAGUUCUAGCCUAAUCAUCAACCAUUCCCCACUCACUCAAACACACGCCUACACAGUACUAUCAGAUGUCUAAACUUGAAGAUUUACAGUAAAAAGGAGCUCUCUUUUUGGGAAGUUGCCUUGGCGAUGGGCCAACAGGGAGUCCGCCUGCUUUGUGUGUAUGUAUGUGUGUGUGCGUGUGUGUGUUGUUGUUGUGACUCAGUGUUUGUGGGCUGCAGAUAACUGUGUCAAAAUUAAAAGCAAAUGUGUCCCAUCUCAAAUGGAUUUUAGGGCUUUAGUAAGAAAAUAACAGUCCUCAGUUUGCCGUGGCAGAUGUUUGUCAGAGUCUAAGAAUGUACUGUACAGACACUGUACAGAUACUAUCUUAAUUUGACCAGUUUCGCACUGCAGGAAAAUAAUCCUGCAGGAACAGGAAAUGUGAAUUAUUAUGUGGAUUGUAAUUAAUGGACGUUUUUAU
ensembl:lncRNA